rnacentral:lncRNA from 1 species
CCUGUCCUGGAGAACACUGACAGCUUUUCCAGCUGACUUCUCAAGGGGAGAGAGGCCAGGGGUGUGCCAUGGCUUCAUUCCGUCACUGUCCGUGUGUCCAGCUGUAAUAGAGGAGGCGAGAAACCGAGCAGCCACCCCUGCCAGCACUGGAAGCCAUCCCUGCCUCCCUGCGCGAGGCUCUCCCAGCCUCACACCAAGGCCGUCCAACUCGCAUCUUCCUGAAGUCCAGGAGAUGUUGGUUGUAGCUCAACCGUGUCACGUUCCCACUGAGCGAGGUGGGACCGUGGUGGGGAAUGGGUUGGGGCGAUCUUACCUGUCCUGGAGAGCGGUGGCAGCUCUUCCUUCCAGCUGAGUGGUCGAGGGCAGUGAGGCCAGGAGUGUGCCGUGGUCUGGUCCCAUCACUGUGUGUGUCUGGCUUUAAUAAGAGAAGGAACAAACCGAGCAGCAUCCCCCUGUGACCACGGACAGCCCCUGCCUUUCUGCCUGAGGGUCUCGAGCGUCUCACCACAUCCGUCGGUGUCCCGUCAUCCUGAUGGAGUGAAUACUGCCAUCCUGGCCCGAUCGUGUCACCGUCCUGCUUGCUGUGAGACAGCAGUGGGUGUGGGUUGGGGCGAUCUUACCUGUCCUGUAGGGCGUGGACAAUUGUCCGGCACAGUGCUGGAAAGGAGCGGCCAGGAGCGUGCGGUGGUUUAGUUCGGCCAGUGUCCUGUAGGGCGCUGAGAGCCAUUUGAGGUGAGGGCCUGAGGAGAGAGGAGAGAGGAGCUGAAUUCCUCUGGUUGAGUUUGUGUCCAGAGCGGAGGCUGGAGCCGCAGGAGCAGGCAGCCGAGCAGCCUCCCCGUCAGCACGGGCAGCCAUCGCAGGGCUGCCCAACUGCCCAGCUGCCGUUGGGGCCAGCGUUCCGGGGCCAAGGCC